rnacentral:rRNA from 1 species
GACGAACGCUGGCGGCGUGCUUAACACAUGCAAGUCGAACGGUGAAGCGCCUUCCUUUUUGGUGGGUGUGGAUGAGUGGCGAACGGGUGAGUAACACGUGAGUAACCUGCCCCCUUCUUCUGGAUAACCGCAUGAAAGGGUGGCUAAUACGGGAUAUUCUGGGUCUGUCGCAUGAUGGGUCUGGGAAAGAUAUUGUUUCGGUGGGGGAUGGGCUCGCGGCCUAUCAGCUCGUUGGUGGGGUGAUGGCCUACCAAGGCGGUGACGGGUAGCCGGCCUGAGAGGGUGGACGGUCACACUGGGACUGAGACACGGGCCAGACUCCUACGGGAGGCAGCAGUGGGGAAUAUUGCACAAUGGGCGCAAGCCUGAUGCAGCGACGCCGCGUGAGGGAUGGAGGCCUUCGGGUUGUGAACCUCUUUCGCCAGUGAAGCAGGCCUGCCUCGUUUGUGGGUGGGUUGACGGUAGCUGGAUAAGAAGCGCCGGCUAACUACGUG